UGUGGGGGAUGGGCAGAGGGACACAGGGGGGAUGGGCAGGGGGGCAUUGGGAGGGAGGGAUGGAAGGGGCGUUUUGGGGCCCCUUUGCAGGUAGGUGUCUGCUGAAGUGCGCCGAGGCGGGUGGAGGCCAGCGGGAGCAGCGCCUGCCCUGUGCGGGGCCGAAUCCCCCCCCAGCCCCCAUGGCUGUGGGGCACGCAGGAGUAAAGCCGCAUUGGAGACCCUAAAGUCAGCACCUCCGCCUCCGAUGACUGUGGGGGGCCGAGCAAGAACAGGCCCGUUCCUGGACUCUGGAGUGUGUCUACAUCUGUGCGAUGCCUAGUGCAAAGGAGAGCAGCUGCUCCGGGAUCUCGGCCAGCACGUCCUUGGCCAGGCGCGCCAUGCUCAGCACCUGGUUCCCGGAGCGAUCCACGUAAUCCCGGAAUGGCACGAACUGCAACACGAGACAGGCAGUGCUGGGCCCCGGAGCGCCGCGCUGCAGCCACCGAGGGGGGCAGUGCUG